rnacentral:rRNA from 1 species
GUCGAACGCGCAGCACUCUGUAGCAAUACAGGGUGUGGGCGCGUGGCGAACGGGUGCGUAACACGUGGAUAACCUUCCUUCAGGUGGGGAAUAACCCCGCGAAAGCGGGGCUAAUACCGCAUAACAAAACGAUGAGACAUCUUGUUGUUUUCAAAGGCGCAAGUCGCCAGAAGAGGGAUCCGCGGCCGAUUAGCUUGUUGGCGGGGUAAUGGCCCACCAAGGCAAUGAUCGGUAGCCGGACUGAGAGGUUGGCCGGCCACACUGGAACUGAGACACGGUCCAGACUCCUACGGGAGGCAGCAGUGGGGAAUCUUGCACAAUGGGCGAAAGCCUGAUGCAGCAACGCCGCGUGGGGGAUGAAGCUUCUCGGAGUGUAAACCCCUUUCGACCCGGAAGAAAGCCCGCAAGGGUUUGACGGUACGGGUAUAAGAAGCCCCGGCUAACUACGUGCCAGCAGCCGCGGUAAAACGUAGGGGGCCAGCGUUGCUCGGAAUUACUGGGCGUAAAGGGUCCGUAGGCGGUGUGGCAAGUCGGUAGUGAAAUCUCUGGGCUUAACCCAGAGGCUGCUGCCGAAACUGCCGUGCUAGAGUGUGAGAGAGGCGAGUGGAAUUACGGGUGUAGCGGUGAAAUGCGUAGAUAUCCGUAGGAACAUCCGAGGCGAAAGCGGCUCGCUGGAUCACAACUGACGCUGA